rnacentral:rRNA from 1 species
AUUGAACGCUGGCGGCAGGCCUAACACAUGCAAGUCGAGCGGAUGAAGGGAGCUUGCUCCUGGAUUCAGCGGCGGACGGGUGAGUAAUGCCUAGGAAUCUGCCUGGUAGUGGGGGAUAACGUCCGGAAACGGGCGCUAAUACCGCAUACGUCCUGAGGGAGAAAGGGGGGGAUCUUCGGACCUCACGCUAUCAGAUGAGCCUAGGUCGGAUUAGCUAGUUGGUGGGGUAAAGGCCUACCAAGGCGACGAUCCGUAACUGGUCUGAGAGGAUGAUCAGCCACACUGGAACUGAGACACGGUCCAGACUCCUACGGGAGGCAGCAGUGGGGAAUAUUGGACAAUGGGCGAAAGCCUGAUCCAGCCAUGCCGCGUGUGUGAAGAAGGUCUUCGGAUUGUAAAGCACUUUAAGUUGGGAGGAAGGGCAGUAAGUUAAUACCUUGCUGUUUUGACGUUACCAACAGAAUAAGCACCGGCUAACUUCGUG